AUUGAACGCUGGCGGCAGGCCUAACACAUGCAAGUCGAACGGUAACAGGAAGCAGCUUGCUGCUUUGCUGACGAGUGGCGGACGGGUGAGUAAUGUCCGGGAAACUGCCCGAUGGAGGGGGAUAACUACUGGAAACGGUAGCUAAUACCGCAUAACGUCGCAAGACCAAAGAGGGGGACCUUAGGGCCUCUUGCCAUCGGAUGUGCCCAGAUGGGAUUAGCUAGUAGGUGGGGUAACGGCUCACCUAGGCGACGAUCCCUAGCUGGUCUGAGAGGAUGACCAGCCACACUGGAACUGAGACACGGUCCAGACUCCUACGGGAGGCAGCAGUGGGGAAUAUUGCACAAUGGGCGCAAGCCUGAUGCAGCCAUGCCGCGUGUAUGAAGAAGGCCUUCGGGUUGUAAAGUACUUUCAGCGGGGAGGAAGGGAGUAAAGUUAAUACCUUUGCUCAUUGACGUUACCCGCAGAAGAAGCACCGGCUAACUCCGUG
rnacentral:rRNA from 1 species